GUGCUUGCUUCAGCAGCACAUAUACUAAAAUUGGAACAGUACAGAGAAGAUUAGCGUGGCCCCUGCGCAAGGAUGACAUGCAGAUGCGUGACGUGUUCCAUAUCUUU
rnacentral:snRNA from 1 species